rnacentral:rRNA from 1 species
UUAAGCGACUAAGCGUACACGGUGGAUGCCCUGGCAGUCAGAGGCGAUGAAGGACGUGCUAAUCUGCGAAAAGCGUCGGUAAGGUGAUAUGAACCGUUAUAACCGGCGAUGUCCGAAUGGGGAAACCCAGUGCAAUUCGUUGCACUAUCGUUAACUGAAUACAUAGGUUAACGAGGCGAACCGGGGGAACUGAAACAUCUAAGUACCCCGAGGAAAAGAAAUCAACCGAGAUUCCCCCAGUAGCGGCGAGCGAACGGGGAGCAGCCCAGAGUCUGAAUCAGCUUGUGUGUUAGUGGAACGGUCUGGAAAGUCCGACGGUACAGGGUGAUAGUCCCGUACACCAAAAUGCACAGGUUGUGAACUCGAAGAGUAGGGCGGGACACGUGGUAUCCUGUCUGAAUAUGGGGGGACCAUCCUCCAAGGCUAAAUACUCCUGACUGACCGAUAGUGAACCAGUACCGUGAGGGAAAGGCGAAAAGAACCCCGGCGAGGGGAGUGAAAAAGAACCUGAAACCGUGUACGUACAAGCAGUGGGAGCACCUUCGGGUGUGACUGCGUACCUUUUGUAUAAUGGGUCAGCGACUUAUAUUCUGUAGCAAGGUUAACCGUAUAGGGGAGCCGCAGGGAAACCGAGUCUUAACUGGGCGUUAAGUUGCAGGGUAUAGACCCGAAACCCGGUGAUCUAGCCAUGGGCAGGUUGAAGGUUGGGUAACACUAACUGGAGGACCGAACCGACUAAUGUUGAAAAAUUAGCGGAUGACUUGUGGCUGGGGGUGAAAGGCCAAUCAAACCGGGAGAUAGCUGGUUCUCCCCGAAAGCUAUUUAGGUAGCGCCUCGUGAAUUCAUCUUCGGGGGUAGAGCACUGUUUCGGCUAGGGGGUCAUCCCGACUUACCAACCCGAUGCAAACUACGAAUACCGAAGAAUGUUAUCACGGGAGACACACGGCGGGUGCUAACGUCCGUCGUGAAGAGGGAAACAACCCAGACCGCCAGCUAAGGUCCCAAAGUCAUGGUUAAGUGGGAAACGAUGUGGGAAGGCACAGACAGCCAGGAUGUUGGCUUAGAAGCAGCCAUCAUUUAAAGAAAGCGUAAUAGCUCACUGGUCGAGUCGGCCUGCGCGGAAGAUGUAACGGGGCUAAACCAUGCACCGAAGCUGCGGCAGCGACACUAUGUGUUGUUGGGUAGGGGAGCGUUCUGUAAGCCUGCGAAGGUGACCUGUGAGGGUUGCUGGAGGUAUCAGAAGUGCGAAUGCUGACAUAAGUAACGAUAAAGCGGGUGAAAAGCCCGCUCGCCGGAAGACCAAGGGUUCCUGUCCAACGUUAAUCGGGGCAGGGUGAGUCGACCCCUAAGGCGAGGCCGAAAGGCGUAGUCGAUGGGAAACAGGUUAAUAUUCCUGUACUUGGUGUUACUGCGAAGGGGGGACGGAGAAGGCUAUGUUAGCCGGGCGACGGUUGUCCCGGUUUAAGCAUGUAGGCUGGUUGUCCAGGCAAAUCCGGAUAAUCAAGGCUGAGGUGUGAUGACGAGGCACUACGGUGCUGAAGUAACAAAUGCCCUGCUUCCAGGAAAAGCCUCUAAGCAUCAGGUAACAUUAAAUCGUACCCCAAACCGACACAGGUGGUCAGGUAGAGAAUACCAAGGCGCUUGAGAGAACUCGGGUGAAGGAACUAGGCAAAAUGGUGCCGUAACUUCGGGAGAAGGCACGCUGGUGUGUAGGUGAAGUCCCUGCGGAUGGAGCUGAGACCAGUCGAAGAUACCAGCUGGCUGCAACUGUUUAUUAAAAACACAGCACUGUGCAAACACGAAAGUGGACGUAUACGGUGUGACGCCUGCCCGGUGCCGGAAGGUUAAUUGAUGGGGUUAUCCGUAAGGAGAAGCUCUUGAUCGAAGCCCCGGUAAACGGCGGCCGUAACUAUAACGGUCCUAAGGUAGCGAAAUUCCUUGUCGGGUAAGUUCCGACCUGCACGAAUGGCGUAAUGAUGGCCAGGCUGUCUCCACCCGAGACUCAGUGAAAUUGAACUCGCUGUGAAGAUGCAGUGUACCCGCGGCAAGACGGAAAGACCCCGUGAACCUUUACUAUAGCUUGACACUGAACAUUGAGCCUUGAUGUGUAGGAUAGGUGGGAGGCUUUGAAGCGUGGACGCCAGUCUGCGUGGAGCCAACCUUGAAAUACCACCCUUUAAUGUUUGAUGUUCUAACGUUGGCCCCUUAUCGGGGUUGCGGACAGUGUCUGGUGGGUAGUUUGACUGGGGCGGUCUCCUCCCAAAGCGUAACGGAGGAGCACGAAGGUUAGCUAAUCCUGGUCGGACAUCAGGAGGUUAGUGCAAUGGCAUAAGCUAGCUUGACUGCGAGCGUGACGGCGCGAGCAGGUGCGAAAGCAGGUCAUAGUGAUCCGGUGGUUCUGAAUGGAAGGGCCAUCGCUCAACGGAUAAAAGGUACUCCGGGGAUAACAGGCUGAUACCGCCCAAGAGUUCAUAUCGACGGCGGUGUUUGGCACCUCGAUGUCGGCUCAUCACAUCCUGGGGCUGAAGUAGGUCCCAAGGGUAUGGCUGUUCGCCAUUUAAAGUGGUACGCGAGCUGGGUUUAGAACGUCGUGAGACAGUUCGGUCCCUAUCUGCCGUGGGCGCUGGAGAAUUGAGGGGGGCUGCUCCUAGUACGAGAGGACCGGAGUGGACGCAUCACUGGUGUUCGGGUUGUCAUGCCAAUGGCACUGCCCGGUAGCUAAAUGCGGAAGAGAUAAGUGCUGAAAGCAUCUAAGCACGAAACUUGCCCCGAGAUGAGUUCUCCCUGAGACUUUAAGUCUCCUGAAGGAACGUUGAAGACGACGACGUUGAUAGGCCGGGUGUGUAAGCGCAGCGAUGCGUUGAGCUAACCGGUACUAAUGAACCGUGAGGCUUAACCUU